CUGCAGCCGACGCUGCUGCCGUUCCUGUCGAAAUCGAGUGUAGUGCGUCCAUGGAAGAUUUCGGCAGUGGGGAAGCAUCUGCUUCUGGGACGAAGGGAAAGCAUGACAAACCCAAGCCGUGGGAUGAGGACCCUAACAUCGAUCACUAGAAGAGAAGUAGUUGCAAGAAGCAUGGCCUAAAGUGCAUUGAAAGAAUUUGGAGUCUCAUGUGAACUUAAUUUGGCGAGCCAUUUAAACUUUCUACUUGUCUUUCAGGUUGAAGGAUCAAUGACGGUUUCAACAACUUGAAAAACUAGGGACCAGACCACCCCUACAUUAUUAUGAAAGAUAGGGAUUUGAUUAACCCUACACCUCAGGUAU